rnacentral:rRNA from 1 species
UACGUAGGGUCCGAGCGUUGUCCGGAAUUACUGGGCGUAAAGAGCUCGUAGGUGGUUUGUCGCGUUGUUCGUGAAAACUCACAGCUCAACUGUGGGCGUGCGGGCGAUACGGGCAGGCUAGAGUUCGGUAGGGGAGACUGGAAUUCCUGGUGUAGCGGUGAAAUGCGCAGAUAUCAGGAGGAACACCGGUGGCGAAGGCGGGUCUCUGGGCCGUUACUGACGCUGAGGAGCGAAAGCGUGGGGAGCGAACAGG